GCCAAUGUGGCAUAAUAGUUUGAGCACUGGACGCCCACUCUGGAGAUCAGGGUUCAAUUCCCUGCUUGGCCA